rnacentral:rRNA from 1 species
UACACUCCUGCGGGAGGCAGCAGUGGGGAAUAUUGGACAAUGGGCGCAAGCCUGAUCCAGCCAUGCCGCGUGAGUGAUGAAGGCCCUAGGGUUGUAAAGCUCUUUCACCGGUGAAGAUAAUGACGGUAACCGGAGAAGAAGCCCCGGCUAACUUCGUGCCAGCAGCCGCGGUAAUACGAAGGGGGCUAGCGUUGUUCGGAUUUACUGGGCGUAAAGCGCACGUAGGCGGACUAUUAAGUCAGGGGUGAAAUCCCGGGGCUCAACCCCGGAACUGCCUUUGAUACUGGUAGUCUUGAGUUCGAGAGAGGUGAGUGGAAUUCCGAGUGUAGAGGUGAAAUUCGUAGAUAUUCGGAGGAACACCAGUGGCGAAGGCGGCUCACUGGCUCGAUACUGACGCUGAGGUGCGAAAGCGUGGGGAGCAAACAGGAUUAGAAACCCCAGUAGUCCCA